CGAAGGAUCCAAGCGUUAUCCGGAUUCAUUGGGUUUAAAGGGAGCGUAGGCGGACUUAUAAGUCAGUGGUGAAAGCCGAUAGCUUAACUAUCGAACUGCCAUUGAUACUGUAAGUCUAGAGUACAGAUGAUGUUGGCGGAAUAUGACAUGUAGCGGUGAAAUGCAUAGAUAUGUCAUAGAACACCGAUUGCGAAGGCAGCUGACAAAACUGUAACUGACGCUGAGGCUCGAAAGUGCGGGGAUCAAACAGGAUUAGAUACCCUGGUAGUCCGCACAGUAAACGAUGAUAACUAGAUGUUUGCGAUAUACAGUAAGCGUCCAAGCGAAAGCGAUAAGUUAUCCACCUGGGGAGUACGCUCGCAAGAGUG
rnacentral:rRNA from 1 species